ACAAACUUGGUCAUUUAGAGGAAGUAAAAGUCGUAACAAGGUUUCCGUAGGUGAACCUGCGGAAGGAUCAUUAUUGAAAACUUUUGUUGGGAGGUAGUUAGAGCUGGCUUUCCACAAGCAUGUGCUUACUAUUGACCUUCAAUAACCUUCAUCCACCUGUGCACAACCUGUAGGAUAGAUAUUGAAAACAAAAUGGGGGAACUUUAAAUUUGGAGAAAUUCUGUUUAAAGAAGCCUUGUUUUCUUUCAUUACUAUUCUAUGUUUUUCUUAUACACACAAAUGAAUGUUUAGAAUGUUAUCUUUAUAAGAGUGUAACAGCUCUUUUAAAAACAUAAUACAACUUUCAGCAACGGAUCUCUUGGCUCUCGCAUCGAUGAAGAACGCAGC
rnacentral:misc_RNA from 1 species